UGCUACACGGAUUAGUCCACUUGACUAUUUCAGGGAAUACCAUUUUAACCACAAAAUAAUAUUAAUCGUCUUUACUCCACUCCUCCCUGUAUUUCCUCAGCUCUUUUACUUCCUUCUGUAACUGAGUUUUCUCCUGCUCCAAGCUGUCCAACUUACUUAUCAGUUAAUUGCAUUCUGUGUUGCGCUUGUCCAGCUCCCUUAGAAGAAAGUCUACUUGAAGAGCCAUUUCAUCAUCAACAUUUUCAAAAUCAUUUGUUGUUGAUUUGUGUGUGUGAUUAUUUCUGCAGUGUUACAGUCCUAAAGUACAUUUAUGUUGAUGCAGACGGCCCCUUUUUGUCAGAAGGGAGUUGGUGAAGUUGAUGGUCGAUCAGUAGCUGUGGUUGUGGCCCCCACGCACCAUCCAGUAUAAAGUUCUGAUACUGACGCCACUUUGUAACAUCGACCAUCUGUGCUCAACCCUAUGCUCGAUGGUGACGGGUCGUCACUGUGUUUUUUUUUAUGAAGGUAUGCUGCCACAUCCUGAAGGCAGAAAAGCCAGUUGCCCAGGGAAAGCAGGGAAAGACUUAUUUAUUUAUUUUUAAACUUACUGGAUCAUUAUGAUAAUAUCUACUUUGUACAGGUCUGUCGGAAAGGGCGUUUUGAGAUGCUUAAAGUUGCCCAGAGCCACAGAAGAAAGAGGAGGCGCACAAGUCCAUGUGGUGAAAGCGCUACUGGUCUCAGUAGAGAGCAGUGACCCGUCCUGCACCACCAUGUAAACAGUGGACCAGGUGAGUCAUCAAAAAUGCAACAAUUCCAUUUGUAUGUACAGGAUAAGAUAUGAUCACAAUGGCUACAGU